rnacentral:rRNA from 1 species
GGCUGUUCGCCGAUUAAAGUGGUACGUGAGCUGGGUUUAGAACGUCGUGAGACAGUUCGGUCCCUAUCUGCCGUGGGUGUUAGAAUCUUGAGAGGAGCUGUCCCUAGUACGAGAGGACCGGGAUGGACAUACCUCUGGUGUAUCCGUUGUGGCGCCAGCUGCAUCGCAGAGUAGCUAUGUAUGGAUGAGAUAAGCACUGAAAGCAUCUAAGUGCGAAACUCGCCGCGAGAUGAGAUCUCGUUGAGAGCCGUGGAAGACGACCACGUUGAUAGGCCGCAGGUGUAAAGAUGGUGACAUCAAAGCCGAGCGGUACUAAUUGCUCAAAAGCUUAUGAA